CCUACGGGAGGCAGCAGUGAGGAAUAUUGGUCAAUGGGCGCAAGUCUGAACCAGCCAUGCAGCGUGAAGGAAGACUGCUCUAUGAGUUGUAAACUUCUUUUGUAAGGGGAUAAAGGCAGAUACGUGUGCCUUUUUGUAUGUAUCGUAUGAAUAAGGAUCGGCUAACUCCGUGCCAGCAGCCGCGGUAAUACGGAGGAUCCGAGCGUUAUCCGGAUUUAUUGGGUUUAAAGGGAGCGUAGAUGGGUUGUUAAGUCAGAUGUGAAAGUUUGCGGCUCAACCGUGAAAUUGCAAUUGAUACUGGCAGCAUUGAGUACAGUUGAGGUAGGCGGAAUUCGUGGUGUAGCGGUGAAAUGCUUAGAUAUCACGAAGAACUCCGAUUGCGAAGGCAGCCUACUAAACUGCCACUGACAUUGAUGCUCGAAAGUGUGGGUAUCAAACAGGAUUAGAUACCCUAGUAGUC
rnacentral:rRNA from 1 species